UACAGAGGUCUCGAGCGUUAGGCGGAAUCACUGGGCUUAAAGCGUGUGUAGGUGGAUGCCUAAGUACCUUGUGAAAUCCCACAGCUUAACUGUGGAACUGCUUGGUAUACUGGGUGUCUUGAGUCACUCAGGGGCGAGCGGAACAAAUGGUGGAGCGGUGAAAUGCGUAGAUAUCAUUUGGAACGCCAAUGGUGAAAACAGCUCGCUGGGGGUGCACUGACACUGAGACACGAAAGCCAGGGGAGCGAACGGGAUUAGAUACCCCGGUAGUCCUGGCCGUAAACGAUGUCGACUAGAUCGUGGUGGCUCUGACGUCAUCACGGUCGAAGCAAAAGUGCUAAGUCGACCGCCUGGGAAGUACGGUCGCAAGGCUAAA
rnacentral:rRNA from 1 species